GCACUGCUGAAGAGUCCCAUAAUAGGACGAAACGGGCGUCCAGUGA
rfam:Schistosoma mansoni, Puerto Rico, WGS project CABG01000000 data, contig: 0179